AAUGUGAAAAUUAGAGUUUAGCAUAGUUUAUUUUCAGUAAGACAUCUAAUUAUUUCAUGUUGUCAACAUUAAUUUUUGUGCAUAUCAUUACAAAUUAUAUGGACUAACCAAGAAAUUCAUUAAAAGUACAUCUAUGUAAAAUGUUGAUGUUUUAAAUAGAAUGGCAAGUUGGGAUAGUCUUAUAUUUGAAAGAAAACUAAGUACGGAUAUUUUACUGUAUUUGAAAAAGUUAUAGUAUUGCCUUGCAGGGUUAAAAAGUGUCCAUUUAAACAACAUAGGAGUGGAUGGUGGGAUACAAGGUGUUUUUUUUUCUUUUAGGACCUUUUAAGACCUUUACAUGUUCAAUUGAAUUAAAUUAUGUUGGAAUCAUAUCUCUCCUUACAAAGAUGUUUACAAAUAACACAGUAGAAGUAUUGUAACUGUCCCCAUGCUACUGAGAAAAUUUUACUAGUAUGACUGUAUAGUAAAAUCUAUUGUGAUAGUAGACUUUUCAAGAUAAUAUGUGACUAAUUUCUCCUGUAUGACUACAGGUGGCAGUGCAGAAGCCAAGAAUAAAAACUGGCAGAAGUUAUUUUUCUCUAUAAGAAAAUGAAGAGCGUGUACACAUGACUAAGCACAGGAACCUGAAAAACCACAGGAAUGAAAUGCUGAUAGCUUUUUACUUUGGAGAGUUACUAAGAAAAAAAAUCAUUCAGUCAGUCUAUAACAAAGGCAUUUUUAAAUCUGAUUUAUCUAGCUGCGAUGAAGAAUUUUAGUUAAUGGAAGCUGCUGCAGUCUGUCCCAAGGAUUAUUCAGAAUGGUUUAGAAACUGCACGUCACAGAAAGCUGGAGGUCUUGUCCAAGGCAAUGGUUUUGUUGGUGUUACUACAGUAACCUGGGCGAGAGAAAGUAUGCUGAAAUUGAACUGUUUUCUCACAAAUUGCUGUUGAGCACAAUGGGGCUGAAGUGAACCGUUGUGCCAGGUUCCACCUAUAAUCCCUACUCAACUAUAGUUAAUGGGACUUGUGUGAACUGAUGUAAGCAUCAAGCCCAAAGGCAUGGGGGACUUUUACUCGGCUUUUUUUUUUAAAGGGGAAUGAAGAGAGAAGAAAGCAGUUCAGUUGUUAAAUGUGAAAGGUGAGGUUUUUCCUUCCCAUGGUUACAUUACUAAUACCAAUAAAACUACUUUGGAAGUUAUCUUGAUGGUAUGACAGCCAAAAUGGCCCCUUUGUGUUUCUCUUGCCACAAAAGAAAACUCUUUAUGACCAGCAUUCUCUCUAGACACUUUCUUGUUAGCCAUAAGUCAUUUGGAGAACUACUUAUGUCAGAAGUUCCUUUGAAAAAGAGCUUGCCUAUAAUGAAUGGCCUGCGUGUUUUACAGAGCAAUAUAUUGAAACACUUAAGUGCAAGGGGACACGCCAUUUUAGAUGAGAAACCUAUAAAUGAAUGAGCAAUUUUGCUCCCUUUUAGUGUAAAUACAAAUGAAGGUUUUUAAUAAGUUGAACUAUGUUAAAGCUACCAUAAUUGUAACAUGAUUUAUUGCAGUCUUCCUUAAUCACUUUUCUUCAGACUAGGGAAUCUAUUUUCUGCCUUUUGAGUGGUGGGGGAAAUUAUUGUAACAGAGAUAAGCAGCUUUAUGAACUGCCUUUUGCAGAAAAACUUAUAUAAUCUGAUAGAUAUGACAUACAAAAAACGUACCACACACAUGUUCCUCAUGGCAAUCUAAAUAGCCUGUUCCACAUUAUUCAUUACUUGUAACUAGUUUGCAUUGUAUACUUUCAGUUACUUUAUGGUCUCUUGUCACUUGUUAAACAUUUCAGUCUGAAUUGCAACUGAUUCCAAGUUAAUGGUAUGCAAUCCUAUGGUAAAAAAUCAGCAUAUGAUUCUACACUGAGUGUUCACAUCUACUAAAAAGUUCCUUUUUGUGGACCAGAGCACCAGGAGAGCAUGCCAGGGUCACGAAACCAAAUAAAAAUUUAUAAAGUGAAUAAAUAGUUUAAACAAAUCAAGUAGAAAACUUUAAUAGUUCCUUUUUGAAAAGGCUGGAGGACCACAAUCAUCAGGAUGUUAUGUUUUGUUAUGCCAAAGAUAUUCUGAAUUCCUAUUAGGCUCAAGGGCAAUGGUAGAGGAAGAGUUGGUGAAUAUUUGAGUGGCAUGAGUACUCUUAAAAGACCGUAGUUUCGCUCCAGGAUCCUGGUAUUAGUUGCCUCAUAUAAUUGUUUUUGGAUCCUCCCUAUGGUAUAUGUUCAAUCCUCUACAGUGUUAUUGGUACUUAAAACAGGAAUGUGCAUCUGAUGUUUCUAGAGUGCAAAUUCCUAUAAUUUACAGUUUCUCCUAGACUCAAGAAUAACCCAUCCUCUCAAUUGUGAUGCUUUUCAGGGAAAUGAUUCAGUACUCUUUAGUGGCUUAAAACAAUGGAUUAAUGACACACCUAUUUUAAAUGGGAUGCCUGUUUUUUGCAAGUCUAUAAAAGAUGUGAAGUGAUAUGUGGUGUAGUAUACAUUCUCUAUUGUAUAGAGAUUCAUUCACUUCAUGGUAUUUUCUUGCUCUAUAAUAGCUGCUAAAUUAGUCACCAUAAGAAUGUGAUUUGUUAAAUACUUAGUUUUAAAACAAUUCAGAAAUGAAAGUGUCUGGCAGCAUAAUAUAUUCCUAGGAGUUUCUCUGAUAAUCUGAGCCACUGUUGAAAUGGUAGAUUUCAUUCACAGUUUGCCAGUUAAAUGAACUUCACCAUAUUUUUCCAUAUUAGGCAUAACUACAUGAGCAGAAGAGCUAAGGUCUUCUUAGCAAUGGGUUUGUUGUGUCCUCAGUUCAUGUAUUAAAUUGCUGGUUCACCAUGCAAAUAAAAUAGUAAGAGGGGUUAUGCUUUCUUUCAUCCCCCAUGUAUUGAAUAGUAGGUGCUCAGUGGAGGUAAGGAGUUGAAUGUUCACAUGGGCACAUACAUUCUGUAUCAGUAUAGCAUAGUUACAACCUGUCUGCUCAUAGAGGAUCUGUGUACUUGAUUGGACAGCUGACCAACAUGAAUGCAUUUUGGCUGCCUUGUAUUUCUGACCAUAUCUUGGGCUGUACUCUCCAGACUGAUUAUGCAGUGAAUAGGGCACAGCAAAAUGAGUCAGUUCCUGUUCUUUUGGCUGAAGCUUCAUUAAGAGUUCUCAAGAAAAAUUUCAGAAUGUGGAUGUGGUCAACAUAGUCAUUUUCCUGGCAUCUCAAAGGAAACCCACAUAAACUGUGAAUGUGAACUUUGAACUAUUAUCCCUCCAAUAACAGAAAAGGAAAAGCAUUUUGUGGGAAUAUUCACUUGCAGCUCACCCUAUGUCACAACCUGCACAUUUUAUAUAGAAAUAAUUCUUAAUAGCUGGUCUAUAUUGUAUCUUUCAUGAUAGAUAUCAACUAUAUCCCAUUUUCUCUUCCAAAAACACCAGUUUGGGGUAGAAGACGAAUAAGAACAAUGCUUUUCAUCUGUUUCAUAUUCAAGCCAAAAUUUUUUUGUUUUUGUUUUUAAAGGCAUUUUAGAUUUUUAGUUUUCAUUGUAACUACUUGCUGAACUACAUAGAAAUCUGAAACCAGCCCAUCAGUUCCACACUUAGUGUUUGUAUCAUCAUGGCUAAAUAUUUUAGAUGAAAAUGUCACUGUCAAAACAAAAACUUUAAAAUUGAGAAACUUUACAGCAAAGCGGCUUUUAAAAUUGCAACAGAUUGAUUUUUAAUAGGCAAUGAAAUAGUCAGUCAUAUUCCAAAGAAGUCAUUUUAAAUAGUAAGUGAAGAUUAUUUUUGAAAAUCUAAACUAUUGUAACAUUCUUUCACUGAUUUUCUUACGAAAUUCAUGUAUUAGAGCCUGGUUACUAAGUAUUUUACCAUAUGAAUUCAGGGACCACAGAUCUCCACAGUCCUAGAGAGAAGUACUGCAUUUUAUGUUCAACAUUUGAUCACUAUCUUGAUGUGCUGCUGUUUGUAUCGCAGUAACAUUCAGAAGCUCCCUUCGUGGACUAGGGACCGUACAAACAUAGUACAAAAAAAUAAAUAAAAAAUUUCUCCCUCCUGAAGAAUUUACAGAAGAACAAAAAAAUGACCAUACUGCACCAGCUAGUUUAGUAUCUGUCUUCCAGCAGUGGCCAGUACAAGAGGCUUCAGAGGAAAUUAACAGAACAGGGCAAUUUAUCAAGUGAUCCAUCCCCUAUUUUCCAGUCAGAGGUUCAGAAAAACCACAGAAAUUAGCAUAGUAUACAUACCCUGAGAAAAGUACUGCCUGCAUCCUCCAUGAACAUAUCUGAUUCCUUUUUUUUCAGCCCCAUUAUACUUUUGGUAUUCACAGCAUCCUCUAGCAAGGAGUUCCACAGAUUGACUGUUUGUUUUGUGAAAAAGUCCAUUUGUUUGUUUGUUUGUUUUUGUUUGUUAGCUACUGCCUGUUAAUUACCCGAAUAUUACAUUUUAUUAUAUCACUGAUUUUUAAGUGGUUGCUACUUUAGAAAAUUGUUGCUUUCUUUGCUGUGCUUUUUUCUUUUGUAGGAAGAAAUGGAAGGACUAGCUAUACAGAAGUUUGUAAGCUGUUUAGGUCAGGGCUGUCUAGGUGUUGGCACAGUAGGAGCCUGGUCUAUGAGUGGGGUUGCUAAGCAGUAUGGCAGUAUAAAUAAUAAAUCUUUCCAAAUAAAAAAGGCUGUUAAUUGAGGUUUCAUCAGGAAAGACUAAAAAGUCUGAAUAGUGAUAGAGAUGUAGCCGUGUUAGUCUAGUGUAGCUGAAACAAA